GGUACCACAAGAAUCUGUAGUUUACCGCAAAGUCAGUUUUUUUUUAAUAAUAUCAAAUAUAUUUACCUGCUCUUAACUACAUGGUCCCGACCGAGUUGAAGAUAUGACUCUAACAGUAUGCACAAAAAAUUUAUUUUUUAUUUUUAUUUUUGUUUGAAAAAUGAUUAUACCGAACCCAAGAAGGGUUGCCUACGUAUCUCAAUAAAUUGAGAAUCAGGUACGCGUAGUUCGACAGAUAUGACUUGGAAAAUAUGCACAAACUAUUUAUAAUUUUUUUUAAAAAAAAGAUAAUAUCGAACCCAAGAAGGUUGCCUACGUAUCUCACCGAAAUGAGAAUCAGGUACACGUAGUUCGGCCAGAUAAGGCUGGAAAAAUAUGCACAAACUAUUAAUUAAUUUUUUUUUAAUUUUUUUUUUAGAAAAAAAAUAAUACCGAACCAAGAAGGGUUGCCUACGUAUCUCAUUAAAAUGAGAAUCAGGUACGCGUAGUUCGACCAGAUAAGGCUGGAAAAAUAUGCACAAACUAUUAAUUAAUUUUUUUAAAUUUUUUUUAGAAAAAAAAUAAAUAAUACCGAACCCAAGAAGGGUUGCCUACGUAUCUCAUUAAAAUGAGAAUCAGGUACGCGUAGUUCGACCAGAUAUGGCUGGAAAAAUAUGCACAAACUAUUAAUUAAUUAUUUUUUUUAAUUUUUUAAUUUUUUUUAAAAAAGAAGAUAAUACCAAACCCAAGAAGGGUUGCCUACGUAUCUCAUUAAAAGUAGAAUCAGGUACGCGUAGUUCGACAGAUAUAGCAUAUAAGAAUUUAAAGAUUUAGACAAUUCAAAGAAAUUUUUAUGUCUAGCGCCACUAAAAUUUGUUUUCAUGAAAUGCUUUUUUUUAACCAAUAUGUUUUAUAGCAUCUUAAUCGUCAAUAUUUAUACUGUCUGUUGAAUGUACCCUACGAAUUUCUAUAGUAAUGAUUUGUUGUACUCUUUUUGGAUGUUUUCUUGGAUCUUUGUCUCCUUCCAUUUUUCACGAGAUCCAGACAUUGUUAUGACCAUCCCCGACUGCUGUCGGGGACGGUAUUCCUACAAAAAUAUGAGAAAUAUGUAAGAGGAGAACCGACAUGCAAAAUAAUAAUAAAAAUAAGUGGAUGCGACCUCAUAGUCAAAUACUUUCCUAAUUUAUUGUUUUGACUUGAUAUUAACGCCUUGUGAAAUACAAGGACUCGAAGUUCGUUAAUCCUCUUGUCUCUUGCGACUUCGGACAAAAAAUGAUUUCUGAAUUUGAACAUAAAUUAAUUUUCGCUGUAAAGAAGAGCAACUCAAAAUGUAAAAGUGUUAGUUCCUGUAAUUAAUAAAUAAUGCAAAAUAUCACACAAAUAAUGAAUAAAACACAAAAAUAUUGUUUUAAUUAAUGACAAAUUGAAUAUAUUACAUAGUAUACAAACAAUUAUUGCGCGUCCUAUACAAAUAUGUGACCCUUUUAUGCCUAGGGUAGGCCUAUCGAUUUGAAGGAUGUAUACGUCAUUUGAAAUAUUUCAUUGCCUCAAAACUCAAAUUUAUACAAAUUUUAUGAAUAAAACUUAAUGGGAAUACAUAAUAGGGGAAAUGUAUACAAAAUAAUUAAUCCCACGCAGGGGUACAACCCUAAACUAUGCCUCCACGAAAGAUCCUUCAGCUUUCUUGAUUUGUUGUCAUCUCUGGUACCAAUAUCUUCGAUUAGAUUAGUAGCUGGUGAAGCACUUUCUUUAACCUAAGCAAACUAUAAUCUAAUCCUUACUCUAUGAGACAAUGAUUUUCUCAAACAACGUAUACAUCCUUCGAAUUUAAACACAUAAGUAUGAAGGUCCUUUUAGGCCGUGGGCCAUUUUGGACUCAAGGUGGUCUUCUAAUGGGCACAACGCGCCUUGUGUGUUGGUCAUCUUAGGCUGAUGCUUAAAUUCGGAUUUGGUUUAGCUCUAUCCUAGUUGACUAAGAGUGGCUUUUGAAAGACCGGGAACCCAAGCGGACAACUUAGGCUGAAUUUCACGACAACCAUUGGACGCAUAACGAACCAAUAAAUUGCCGAUCAUUCCGAAAAAGGAUUGGGUAUUUUAAAAUCCGGUUGUGGUUCCGCAAACCAUCCUUUAAUACACUAUGCAUACAUAUUGGAAGAUGCCAUGAAUGCCAAUAAAAUAAAAAAUGUAUAUACACAAUAAAAUAAAUAAUGAAUAAACACAAUAACCAAAUAAUCAACAAAUAUAAAAAUACAAGGUAUAACAUAAUAAUAAAACAAAAAUUUCCUCAAUUUGAAAAAUUAAAUUCAUAUUGGUUAAAACCUCUAAACUCCCCAGCGGAGUCGUCAUUCUGUUUACAUCCCUACUCUGUUAAAAUAGGGUGAAACAUCGCGGCAACUUGAAAAUUAAUUAAUUGAUUCAAUUUUAACAAAGUUUUAAUAAUAAAUGAAUUUUUAAAAGAGUCACCACCUAAUUUUAGGAAAACUGGGAAACCAAUUAUUAAUCUACGAAACCAAAUUGAUUCUAGGUAAGGGGUUCAAGUCAUUCCGAAGGGAAGGGGUUAGGCACCCUUCGAAAUCCACAAAUGUGAUUACCGACUGAAUUCAUUUUUUUUUCAAAUUGAGGAAAAGAAAAUAAAAUAAUGUACAAAUAUAAUAAACACACAAUAUACACAAUAAAAUAAAAUAAUAAUCACCGGCCUAAGGUUUUCCUAACGUCAAUAUUUACAUAAUAAUGAAAUAAAAAUAUAAUUUGAACUUUUUCGAAUAAUUUCAAGGAAAAGCACCUCGGUGUACCUGUAAAGACACUUAGUAAAAGAGUUAGUGCCAAAUAAAUAUAACAAAAAAUGAAUAACUCAAAUAAUAACUUAAGAAUAAAAAUCCGUCUUAUUGACAUGGGAGGCCUUGGAAAUCGACGGUAAUUUCUUCAUCGGCCAAUUUCAACAACUAAAAAUAUAUAUAAACUUGAAUUAGAUAUCCGUCUUUUAAAAUGGGGAGGCCUCUAAACCCGACGGAUAGAUUUUUCAUCGGCCCUUUAACUCAUUUCAACUCAAAAUCUACGAGAUCAACAAAAUAAUAUAAUGUAAACUAUUGUUCAAAUAAAAUUAUCAUGGUAAAUACCGGAUCAAUCUAAGCAUAGCAACAUAAUACUUAUAGUAAUAACCUCAAGAAAAAUGAAACAUUAAGACAUACCCACUUCCUAAAUAUGCUAUACUAAAUUAGAAAAGUGGCAUCU
rnacentral:lncRNA from 1 species